rnacentral:sRNA from 1 species
UAGUCAAGAGAUUUGUCCAUCUAAUUCACCAUACUACUCUGAUCCAAGUGAGACCCACACUGGGUCAGCUCCAUCAAGGAGAAGAACAUUCCACCCACGUUUGGAUUCUGGAAUAUCAUCCCUGCUUCCAUCAGAUUCUUGUAAGUACCUCACUUUGCAGAAGGUAGAACAACAUGACAUUCAAGGAAGUCAGCUGUGUUGCCCAAGAGUAAGAGAAGGACCCUCUGAAGAAGAGCAACUUUUCAGACAGGUAGAGUGUGCCUUGCUCCCAAGGAAAAGAGUUCUUGACAAAAACAAAUGGGAAAUAUGGCUACAAGAAAACUGGGAAGACUGCAAGAAAAUCUCAGAAUCUGCUUGAGAAUCAUAUCCUCCUUCCUCCAUACACCCAUGGAACCCUCCCGAACCCUGUAUGCUGCUCACUAAUUCUGAUCAAGAUCUUCACCCUCCCUAUCCUGAAAAUUGCUACAACAUAAUUGUGUUUGGAUGUAUAAUUAAUAUAUACAAUACAUUUUAAAUGAAUAAAGUUGACAAAAACCUU